AUCCUUUUGUAGUUCAUAAUGUGAUGAUUGAGUGUUCACAGGCAUGUGUGAGAUGUGCCACCCUCAAACCUUGUUACAAGGUCAACACAUUACCCAUUUGACA
ensembl:snoRNA